UCUACACUUUGAGGUAGACUCAUCUGGACAGUUCUUCGGCUGGUCAGAUGAUGGCAGGACUGUGGUGUUCAUGAAAACAGGUCUUUGCACACAGGAAAGCCAAUUUUUAAAACAUUCGUCUGAGGAGCUCCUGUUUAAAAGAGAAAGAUCCAUAAAUGCAGCUUCUGUCGGUAAUGAGAAAAUGGAAAUCACAAGCAAGACCAGAGAACUCAUUCCACUCAUUCCACCAGAAUCUUAAUGAUCGCCGGAAUAAUUGUGCUGGUCUCUCAAAUCGGGAAGUGGACAGUCACAGCACCGGAUUUUUAUACGAGGGUCAGAUGGGUUCAUGUUUUUUUUAAUUGGGCUCAUUUCUAAACCAUGUGCUUGUCAUGAUGCCUUAAUCUCUUCCCUGUCCCCCAGCAAAACUGCGUUCUCUCUCCUUGUCUCCCUCAAACAAAUGCCGCUUCUCAAAGAGGGAAAUGAGCUUCCCUCUCUUGCCAACAGAUUUCUUAUCAUAUGACUGCUCUGCCGUGGGUGAACCUCUGU